rnacentral:rRNA from 1 species
AGCGAACGCUGGCGGCAGGCUUAACACAUGCAAGUCGAGCGGGCACUUUCGGGUGUCAGCGGCGGACGGGUGAGUAACGCGUGGGAACGUGCCCUCUUGUUCGGAAUAACUCAGGGAAACUUGAGCUAAUACCGGAUACGCCCUUUUGGGGAAAGGCUUGCUGCCGGAGGAUCGGCCCGCGUCUGAUUAGCUAGUUGGUGAGGUAACGGCUCACCAAGGCGACGAUCAGUAGCUGGUCUGAGAGGAUGAUCAGCCACACUGGGACUGAGACACGGCCCAGACUCCUACGGGAGGCAGCAGUGGGGAAUAUUGGACAAUGGGCGCAAGCCUGAUCCAGCCAUGCCGCGUGAGUGAUGAAGGCCUUAGGGUUGUAAAGCUCUUUUAUCCGGGACGAUAAUGACGGUACCGGAGGAAUAAGCCCCGGCUAACUUCGUG